UCCCUUUCAGAUUGUGUGGGCCCUCGAGCUGUUCUCUUCAGAACCAGGGCUGAGUAUGUCUAAGAAUGUUUGGGAAGAUGAUUUAAAGCAGGUGCCCUCAAUCAGGUCAAAUGGAUCAUACAAUCUGCAAUAUGGUUGAGUGAUAGGCCUCCAAAGGAAGCAACUGGACAUCGGCCAGCUGAAGAGGUCAGCCAGAGGAUCCUACUAUGGUCGUUAAGAAUUGUGGACUUUUCUUUUUGCACAUGCACCACAGAAAAACCAAGGUGCUCCAAUGCUGUCAGUAAAAGCAAGCCCAGGAUAGGGAGAUGUUGUCACUUUUGGGAGUGUGAACUGAAGACAUCCAUAUUCACAUCUAGUUCGGCUCACUUGUCAUCUGCAUCUCUGGCACCAAGUUCUUUUCCCUCUGUGUGAACGGAAUUUCUUUUGGCGAACUCUGAUGAAACUUCUGAGAAAAACUUCUGGCCACAAGUUUACUACGUCUGUACUUCACCAUUGUUUUCUUUCUCUGUGAUUUUUUUUGAAGUUCUUCAUAAACUGAAGAACAAGUUGGAAGUUCACAUGAGGUGAGAAAGCUGAAAUUACACAGGUAAGUGUCAAACCCCAGAGUUGAAUCUAAAUGUGUGCCGCUCGGGGUUUGUCUAAAGUACUUUCCUGCCUGUGGAAACUACAGUAUCCUUUCAUUUAACUUGAUUUUCAAAACAAAUGUUACAUAAGUAUGCAUGCCCAGAAACUUAAAAAAAACUGAACAUAAGAUGUCCCCUGCUGACGUCUAAUUCGAUUAAUGAUUUUUAUAGAGUGGGUAUAUUGCUAUCUAUCCAGCAAGACAUCUUCUAGAACAACGGAAAGACAAGAUGAGACAUUUCCUUGAACAAACAAUAUACUUCAAUCUCCCCCCACUGACUCAUCAUCAGGCAGUUUGUUUAUUUGCCUAUUUAACUGGGUUUUCCCAAACAAAGGAGGGACCUUGUUAUGCAAAGUCCUUUUCAGAAGUCGCAUCCAUUUUAGAAGACAUAUGAAAUAAAAUGGAGAGAAAACGAAGGGCUGAGAAAUCCUCAAAGCUGCAUACAUCUGGUUUUGAUUUGGGUCUGUAUUUUUCUUUUCCUCUGGUAGCUUUCGUUUUCAAAGCGGCCAGUGGGUGAAACAUUUUAAUUGAUGCAACCCUUUUUCCAGUGUCCUGGUGGCCAUCCCUGAAACUAUGUCACACAGUUCUCUAAAAGUGCAUCGAUGGUAGAAACCCUCUGUCUCCUACUUUGUUCAGACGCUUGCAAAAAUCUUUCUUAAUUGAUCCCACGUGUUGUAGUGUGGCUAAGGUAUCAAUAUUUCAUAGCACUAAGACGGAACUUGGAGUAGUAUCAGUUCCCCAUUCCCCCAACCCCAGGCUUGACUUAGCAUAGCAAGUCCUUUAGAUUUGCAAGGAGUGCCCGAAAAGUCAAUCAGUAAAAAUAAAUACAAGCUUUAUUCAGUUUUUACUGCAUCUGAAAUAUUAAUCUUUACAAUAAUUAGACUUAACUUUUUCCUCUUCUGAAGCACAGAGGAAAGCUGUCUUAGUCCAUUUCAGGCUGCUGUAAGAGAAUACCACAGUCAGGGCUGAUAAACAACAGGCGUUUAUUGCUCACAGUUCUGGAGGCUGGAGGUCCAAGACCAAAGUGUGGCAGUUUCAGUGUCUGGUGAGGGCUUCCUGGUUCACAGACGGCACCUUCUCACUGUGUCUUCAAAUGGUAGAAGGGGCGAGGGAGCUCUCUGGGGUGCAUUUUAUGAGGGCACUGAUCCCAUUCGUGAGGCUCCAUGCUCAUGACCUCAUCACUUCCCCAUGCCUCACCUCCUAGUACCUUUGGAGUUAAUGUUUCAAAAUAGGAAUUUGAGGAGAUAUGGACAAGCUGCAGGUAUUCAAGAAUAUUACAUUAAUUUAGGAAGAUAAAUACAGGAAGGAAUUUAAGUUUAGCUGCAAAUGCAUGUGCACACACACACACACACACACACAAAUACAAGUUUUCUCAUUUUUUUGAAAACUAGCUCCCCAUAGGCAGAGAUCUGCAGAAGAUGAGGCUUGAUAAUGUGUUCUAAUUCUCCCAAAUGUUGCUUUAUGAAUUUGGAUGCUAUGCUACUAGCUGAAAAAAAGUUCAACAUUUUUAUAAUCUUA